rnacentral:rRNA from 1 species
AGUGAACGCUGGCGGUAGGCCUAACACAUGCAAGUCGAACGGCAGCACAGUAAGAGCUUGCUCUUACGGGUGGCGAGUGGCGGACGGGUGAGGAAUACAUCGGAAUCUACUUUUUCGUGGGGGAUAACGUAGGGAAACUUACGCUAAUACCGCAUACGACCUACGGGUGAAAGCAGGGGAUCUUCGGACCUUGCGCGAUUGAAUGAGCCGAUGUCGGAUUAGCUAGUUGGCGGGGUAAAGGCCCACCAAGGCGACGAUCCGUAGCUGGUCUGAGAGGAUGAUCAGCCACACUGGAGCUGAGACACGGUCCAGACUCCUACGGGAGGCAGCAGUGGGGAAUAUUGGACAAUGGGGGAGAGCCUGAUCCAGCCAUACCGCGUGGGGGAAGAAGGCCUUCGGGUUGUAAAGCCCUUUUGUUGGGAGAGAAAAGCAGCAGGUUAAUACCCCGCUGUUCUGACGGUACCCAAAGAAUAAGCACCGGCUAACUUCGUG